AUUGUCAUAGCUCAUUCAGGCAGAGCACGAGACCUGGGCUCUCGAGGUAGCGGGUUCAAAUCCCGCUGACA
rnacentral:tRNA from 1 species